AGAGCGACCGGUGCUUGCACUGGUCAAUCUAGUGGCGAACGGGUGAGUAACACGUGGGUAACCUGCCCAUCAGAGGGGGAUAACAUUCGGAAACGGAUGCUAAAACCGCAUAGGUCUUCGAACCGCAUGGUUUGAAGAGGAAAAGAGGCGCAAGCUUCUGCUGAUGGAUGGACCCGCGGUGCAUUAGCUAGUUGGUGAGGUAACGGCUCACCAAGGCCGUGAUGCAUAGCCGACCUGAGAGGGUGAUCGGCCACAUUGGGACUGAGACACGGCCCAAACUCCUACGGGAGGCAGCAGUAGGGAAUCUUCCGCAAUGGACGCAAGUCUGACGGAGCAACGCCGCGUGAGUGAAGAAGGUUUUCGGAUCGUAAAACUCUGUUGUUAGAGAAGAACAAGUGCUAGAGUAACUGUUAGCGCCUUGACGGUAUCUAACCAGAAAGCCACGGCUAACUACGUGCCAGCAGCCGCGGUAAUACGUAGGUGGCAAGCGUUGUCCGGAUUUAUUGGGCGUAAAGCGAGCGCAGGCGGUUCCUUAAGUCUGAUGUGAAAGCCCCCGGCUCAACCGGGGAGGGUCAUUGGAAACUGGGGAACUUGAGUGCAGAAGAGGAGAGUGGAAUUCCAUGUGUAGCGGUGAAAUGCGUAGAUAUAUGGAGGAACACCAGUGGCGAAGGCGACUCUCUGGUCUGUAACUGACGCUGAGGCUCGAAAGCGUGGGUAGCAAACAGGAUUAGAUACCCUGGUAGUCCACGCCGUAAACGAUGAGUGCUAAGUGUUGGAGGGUUUCCGCCCUUCAGUGCUGCAGUUA
rnacentral:rRNA from 1 species